rnacentral:rRNA from 1 species
AGGCAGCAGUGAGGAAUAUUGGUCAAUGGCGGGAGCCUGAACCAGCCAAGUCGCGUGAGGGAAGACGGCCCUACGGGUUGUAAACCUCUUUUGUCAGGGAGCAAGAACAGGCAACGUGUGCCUGACUGAGAGUACCUGAAGAAAAAGCAUCGGCUAACUCCGUGCC